UGGCUCAGAUGGUAAAGCAUCUGCCUGCAACGCAGGAGACCUGGGUUCAAUUCCUGG
rnacentral:tRNA from 1 species